rnacentral:lncRNA from 1 species
UAUAAAGCUACUCAACUCCAUAGUCUGGUGCAGACCCAAUGUCAACUGCUACGAUAAACAGUUGGUGUCUCACCUCUCUCUCCCAAGCCCAAUCCCCACAAAACAAAGCUACAUUACGCCCUUCCAUAUCCGCCCGCCUUAACUCUCCUGCUUCUCCUGCUCCACCCAACCUCAUCCAAAACAAGCCCGUAUUUGCUGCUCCUGCUCCUAUCAUCACUCCCACUUGGGUACCGUUCUCUCUCUCCCUUUUUCCUAUGUUUUCUUUUUUUUUAAAAAAAAAGUAAAAAAAAAAUUAACAGCUCUGUCCAUUUGCUGUCUAUGGUUUUGAAUUGUGAUAAUGAUGAUGCUAAAGACAAGUUGGGUUUGAUACAAUGAAGCUAAGGUCUUAGUCCUGAUAAUGUGGACAGUGAAGCAAGAAUAGUGUGAGAGAGAAGGUGGAGAGUAGUGUAGAAACUCAUGAAAUUUGACAUGCAUCUCGUGGUAGUGUUUCUGUUUCUUUUGUUUUCAUUGUUCUUUUUCCUUUUUCUUCUUGAAUAGGGUAAAGUUGAGAAGAAGCAUGAGAAGAGGGGAUUUUAACUUAAAAGCCAUAGCAAAUAUGAAACCCAUGAUGGAAGGGCAAACCCAAAAAAGAAAGGAAAAGAACACUUUCUUUGAAUUGUUUAUUGCCAUACGACCAUGCUGUUUCAGUGGGUUGAAGCUUGAAAUAGAUAAUAAAUUUAUGUUUUUUUCUGAAAGAAACAGGACCAGAUGGUCUAAAACUCAACGAUUUAUCAGAUUUUUUUCUCUCUCUCUUCUUGGUGUCCUAAUCAUUCUAUUUAUUGAGGAAAGUCAUGGUGCCAAGUGUAAGGUGUAGAGUUGUUUUUGUAACAUCCAAAUUGUGCUAGUCCACGUAGCAAGAAAGCCAGAAAGAAGGUUAAACAAACAAAUUAAAUGUGGGCGUAAAGGGGCCCAUUCUUAGGAGGAAUCUGAGGAGAAGAUUCUUCAGAGGAUAGUCCACUUAUAUGCAAUUUUGUUGCUCUGCAUUUGAACACUUCUGCAAGACCCUAUUCCAAUUUCUCAGAUUCAGGUGUGAAAAUCUCAGCUCAUUAAUCUCUUCUUCAGUUUCUUUUUUGCAAAUUUCUCUCACAAUAAUCAGGAAUUCCGGACAAAAUCUCAGUUAGAACUGAAUCAUUCUAUUUAGCUACUUAUUUUCUUCAGAGGAUUCUCUUUAGACUUUUGGUAUAUACUAUAUAGUUUACAACCAUCCCCAUCCCUUUCUAUGUACAAGUGCUAAUUAAUAGGCAAUGGAAAGUGGGGUUUGUUUAUGGUUGAUUAAUAUUUGGUGGGGUGUAAUCCUUUUGUGGGAAUUUGCAGAGAGAAGAUAUGGGAAACGGCUCCUACGACGAGGCUGUGGAAGGUCUCAGGAAGCUUCUCCGGUACACACUCGAUCUCAUCCAUACAGUUGUUUUGCAAUUUGUCCCUGGUCACUGCUCUUCACUCAUCUCCAAAUAUUCUUCGUGUCACUGAUAAAAGAAAACCCAGUCCCUUUGUCUUCUCUUCUAUGCUUUUGUCUACCCCAGCAACGAUCAUUUUCAUGCAAAUUCUCAAAUUUUGUACAAAAUAGAUAGUUAUGAGAAAAUCUAUACCAAUUAAACUAACUAGUUUUGGUGAUUUGGGUUGCAGUGAGAAGGCAAACCUGGAACCUGUAGCAGCUGCAAAAAUUGACCAGAUAACAGCCCAAUUGAAAUCUAGUGAUGGUUCAUCAUCACCAUUUGAUCCAGUUGAGAGGAUGAAAACAGGCUUCAUUUAUUUUAAAAAAGAGAAAUA